rnacentral:rRNA from 1 species
UACAGAGGGGGCAAGCGUUGUUCGGAAUUACUGGGCGUAAAGCGUGCGCAGGCGGUUCGUUAAGUCAGAUGUGAAAGCCCCGGGCUCAACCUGGGAACUGCAUUUGAAACUGGCGGGCUUGAGUGCGGCAGAGGGGGGUGGAAUUCCGCGUGUAGCAGUGAAAUGCGUAGAGAUGCGGAGGAACACCGAUGGCGAAGGCAGCCCCCUGGGCCGACACUGACGCUCAGGCACGAAAGCGUGGGGAGCAAACAGG